rfam:Fukomys damarensis contig112657, whole genome shotgun sequence.
GGAUGCGAGGUGCAUCUGGCUGCAACAUCUGUGACCUCACUGAUUCGCUGAUCUGGCCUGCUAGAAUGGUGUACUCUUCCUCCUUCAACACUCCAUGUGUGACCCUCCAGAAGCUGCAUUCUUGGUGGAAGAGGACCACUGCCCUCAGUAGGGAAGGACCAUUUCCCCAGUCAAGGGUAUAUAUGAAGAGCUGAAUUCCCCUGUUAGAACCUCCAAAUAAGUUCUCAAGAGUUCUGGAAAGAAUAUUACAACACCCUUUCCUGGGUGGGGUUAACUGAGAAAACCUGGGCCAAUGUUUUUCUAA